GACGAACGCUGGCGGCGUGCCUAAUACAUGCAAGUAGAACGCAGUUGCGAACGGGUGAGUAACGCGUAGGUAACGGCCUCAUAGCGGGGGAAAACUAUGGGAAACGAUAGCUAAAACCGCAUACUGUGAGAUGGAGCUGCGUUGUAUUAGCUAGUUGGUGAGGUAAAGGCUCACCAAGGCGACGAUACAUAGCCGGGCUGAGAGGGUGAUCGGCCACACUUGGACUGGGACACGGCCCAGACUCCUACGGGAGGCAGCCGUAGGGAAUCUUCGGACAUGGACGGAAGUCUGACCGAGCACCGCCGCGUGAGUGAAGAAGGGUUUUGGAUCGUUAAGCUCCGUUGUUUGGGAAGCGGUAACUACCCAGAAAGGGCCGGCUAACUCCGUGCCAGCAGCCGCGGUAAUUC
rnacentral:rRNA from 1 species